GACGAACGCUGGCGGCGUGCUUAACACCUGCAAGUCGAACGAAGUGGCGAACGGGUGAGUAAUACGUGGGUAACCUGCCCUCCUUUUUGGGAUAAGCCUUGGAAACGGGGUCUAAUACCGAAUAAAGGGGGAUGGGCUCGCGGCCUAUCAGCUUGUUGGUGGGGUGAUGGCCUACCAAGGCGGUGACGGGUAGCGGGCCUGAGAGGGUGACCGGCCACAUGGGGACUGAGUGACGGCCCAGACCCCUACGGGAGGCAGCAGUGGGGGGUAUUGCACAAGGGGCGAAAGCCUGAUGCAGCGACGCCGCGUGGGGGAUGAAGGCUUUGGGGUUGUAAACCUCUUUCGCUACCGACCGGUUGGGGGGGGAAGAAGCGCCGGUUACUACGUGCCAGCAGCCGCGGUAAUAC
rnacentral:rRNA from 1 species